rnacentral:rRNA from 1 species
UACAGAGGGGGCAAGCGUUAUUCGGCAUUAUUGGGCGUAAAGCGCUCGCAGGUGGUUCAUUGCGUCGUGCGUGAAAGACCCCGGCUCAACUGGGGAGGGUCGUGCGAAACGGGUGAACUAGAGGCCAGUAGGGGGAUGUGGAAUUCCGGGUGUAGUGGUGGAAUGCGUAGAGAUCCGGAGGAACACCAGCGGCGAAGGCGGCAUCCUGGACUGGUUCUGACACUCAGGAGCGAAAGCGUGGGGAGCGAUCCGG